rnacentral:misc_RNA from 1 species
UUUCUUUGUUUUGGUAUUUCUUUAGUUAACAUUGAGAUGUUGAUUCCUUUAAAAAUCUCUGUAAUUUUGAGGAUUGAAGGCAUUAUGGUUGGAAUAUAUCAUUGUACAUCUGGGGAAGUUGACUGUGGCGGUUUUGAAGGAGAUUGUGAAGAAAGAGAAGAUCACCGCCUCCGGUACCAAGAAAGCAGACCUGAUUGAUGCCAUUAAUGACCAUUUUGGAGUGUAACAGGAAGACACUAAAGCAGAUUGGUUUCCAUAUAGAGAGAUAGAGAGGCUUUCAUACUCCACUUAUUUGUAGCAGAUGACUUCAGUGUUAAUUGUUCAUAGAGAAAAUAAAGGCAAAAGCUGUCUUCUUUCUUGGAAUGUACACUUUGCCAUCAACACUGAAAAAACUCUCAGAAUCAAGUUCACUGUAAUUCUUUUUUGUUUGUUCCAAUUUUAGGAAUGUGUAUAAAGCUUCAUUUCAUAGUAGAUUGUGAGUAAAUGCAUUUACAU